GAUAAAAUUUAAACAAAAAAAAAUUUUUUAAUUGAAACCAAAGAGUGACCCGUAAUGUUUCCCAUUAUAGCGCCCUCUAAAUUGUCGUUAAAUUUAAUGUUAAAUGCAAGUACAUGGUGCUGUAGGUAUUCAAAUAAGUUUUUGGACUGAUCCUCCCCUUAGUUAUCGAGAUCUGGACCUUCCAGAAGAAGUUAGGGAAUGG